AAGACUUUAGAUAUGAUCCAGAGUACCACGGGACACGUGAAACCCUGUGGGAAGCAGGAGGGACCACCCUCCAAGGCUAAAUACUACCUAGCGACCGAUAGCGUAUAGUACCGUGAGGGAAAGGUGAAAAGAACCCCGGGAGGGGAGUGAAAUAGAACCUGAAACCCUGCACUUACAAGCUGUGGAAGCACAUUUCUUGUGUGACCGCGUACUUUUUGUAGAACGGGCCAACGAGUUACGUUAAGUAGCAAGGUUAAGCACUUAAGGUGCGGAGCCGUAGCGAAAGCGAGUUUUAACUGAGCGUUCAGUUACUUGACGUAGACCCGAAACCGGGCGACCUACCCAUGAGCAGGAUGAAGCGAAAGUAAAAGUUCGUGGAGGUCCGAACCCACGAGCGUUGAAAAGCUCGGGGAUGACUUGUGGGUAGCGGUGAAAUUCCAAUCGAGCCCGGAGAUAGCUGGUUCUCCCCGAAAUAGCUUUAGGGCUAGCCUCAAGGUGA
rnacentral:rRNA from 1 species